rnacentral:rRNA from 1 species
AUUGAACGCUGGCGGCAGGCCUAACACAUGCAAGUCGAACGAGUGGCGGACGGGUGAGUAAUGUCUGGGAAACUGCCUGAUGGAGGGGGAUAACUACUGGAAACGGUAGCUAAUACCGCAUACCAUCGGAUGUGCCCAGAUGGGAUUAGAUAGUAGGUGGGGUAAAGGCUCACCUAGGCGACGAUCCCUAGCUGGUCUGAGAGGAGUACCAGCAACACUGGAACUGAGACAGGGUCCAGACUCCUACGGGAGGCAGAAUUGGGGAAUAUUGCACAAGGGGCGCAAGCCUGAUGCAGACAUGCCGCGUGUAUGAAGAAGGCCUUCGGGUUGUAAAGUCCUUUCAGCGGGGAGGCGUUACCCGAAGAAGAAGCAACGGCUAACUCCGUGCCAGCAGCCGCGGUAAUAC